UAUGAAUCUUGGUGACAUGGGGUGGCUUCACAUGACAACAGGGGUGGAUUAAGCCUUUUGCUGCCCAUUGAUCUCUCCCUCUCACCUUCCUGCUGAUGCUGCAUCUUGGAUUUCCAGCUUUUGGGAAUCAGAUCCCUCUAUGUAUGCCUUUAAAAGGCAUUUGAUCAGCAGCAAUUAGUAGGCAUUAAUGGUUUUCUCUGUGCCCCCAAAAGCUUCAUCUGCUAAUUUUUGCAUAUCAAGCUGCUCUUUAAAGAAUAAAAGCAGGCCAAGCCAUUUUUGUCUGGCCAGUUGGCAACCUGAGGGACACUAAAUGAUGAUUUAUGACUGAUUUGAUUGCUUGGCUAUCCAAAAUGAGCUGAGGGGGAAAUCGUUGAAGGCGAAAACAAGAACAUUCUAUCACAAUACAAAUAAAGAGUAAACCCAACACAAGCUAAGCUAAUUUAGUCUUCACAACUAAUGAGCCUGUGGCAGCUGGUCUACCAAAAUGCAUAGACUUCCAGAUGGCAGCUUUGAUGGUUUUACUGGAUAAUUAAGAACUGAAUGGCUAUGUGAAAGGCCAAUGGGAGGCAUCUUUUCAAAUGAGGGGAAGCCCCAAAGUCUCCAAGGAAGAAUGGCUUUAAAAUAGUUGAAUAAAAACUUUUUAUUCAUUGCAGUGCUAUUGAAAUUGCAGUGCUAAUGAAAAAUUACAAAAUAAUGAAUAUAUUUGGAAAAGCUUACUGUUUGACAUAGAGCAAAGGAA